CUGACCACAGGGAGCUCUGCACACACGAGAUGCUGGGGCUUCCCUGGCCCCGACUGGCUAGCCACAGGCAGGGCUGGCAGGAGGAGGCCACCGCCACCCUGCGUGUCCCAGGAGGGCACGGACAGUUGAGAACGCCCAUAGGAACGCUGCACAGUGGAGAACGCAUGCAGGCCUCCAACCAUGGCCAGGGCCCUGCGGCGUGGCCCCGUGUCUACCUGUAAAGGUGUGGGGCAGACCCGAGGAGCUCUAACCCAGCGCCUGGGACUUCAACUUCAGCCUCGUACCUUGCUGCCACUUGGGCCUUUCCUGCAGUCGUGUAACUGACAGUUAGACAGGUCACGGCUGGAGGCUCCCCUCGGAGCACAGGCAGCAGCUCUGCCAUGGGAGGAGCCGGCUCCGGCCCCAGAACCGGCCACUUGUAGACGCUCGGGGCAGACAGUCAAGACUAGGGGAAGUUUGUGAGCUGGGUGACAUCUGGUUGGUCCCCUGAAAUCUGCCUCGGUGGGCAGUUACACCACAGCCAUGGGCAAAUGCUGCAAACCAGGACCCCCUCCCCAAGCUGGAUGCUCAAUGUCGUCAGCACCCUGCGUGUAACCUCACUUCCUCCCACCCCACCCCAGAGAGGAAAGGGCUUCAAACUACACGCAACACAGCUCACCCACCAAGCAUGCCAGCACGAGAGAACGUGCCCCGUCUCUGGGGCGCCCACCUGUGCCAGGGCCUCAUCCAGGGAAGCCCCUCACACCCACCCUCUUCUAUGCCCUCCUGAGGUGAGCGGGUGCCUCUCCACCUCACCGACCCGGUGCUCACAGCCCCAGGCUGCAACCCUGGUGCGGAGGGCAGCCCCAGGCCAAAGCGUGGCAGCACUGCCCCUCGCCACCACCACUUGCAAGGAUUUCCAUGAAGCCCUCCCAGCAGGGCUCCCUGCUCUGCCCCGCAAGGACCGCCUAGCCCGCACCGCAGGGUGAUCCUGUUAAAACCAAGUCGGAUCAAGUCACCGGUCUGCUCAAAACCUCCCAGGGGCUCCACGUGACUCAGAGUGAAAGCGAGUCCUGCCCCACCCUGGUUGGUGGGGCCUGGGGUGACCGAGUCCUGAGACCUGUGUCCUGUCUCCUGUGACUUGCGGCCCUCCCUCAAGGCCUGGACAGCAGCAGGCUCCUGCCCUUCCAAGGCCUCCAGGUACUGGGACCCACCACCUGGCAAGGACCACGCCGGGCAGGAGGAGACCAGGAGGCGACAGUCAGACAGAGAAGCUGAAGAAACCAGAAGGCGUCUGUGCAAGAGAGCCCCACACAGACACUGGAAAGAACCAGGGCAACCUGCAGACCAACUCGAAAGACCUCCCCUAGGGCGACGGAAAUGAGAUGAGGCAAACAGCUUCCCGACCAGAGCCCAUGCACCUUCCACGUCUGUGCAGGGAGCUCGGGGCCACAUCCCGAGAUGGGAAAGACAACUGAGGCUUCCACAAAGAAAUUACAAUGAAACAGACACUGGCCAGGCCAGCUGAAAAUCAGUGAUGGACUACGGUCCAAAUCAACGUGGAGGUUCCAACAAGAGAAGGACGGUGGUGGGGUCACCCUACCCCAGCCUGCGAGUGCCCCAGAGGGUGCACAAGCAGGACAGCCACCCUGUUGCAGAGUGUGGUGCUUUCACACCAUGUUCACCCCACCUCAGCCCUCUGGCCCAGACGUCGGUGGCUCCUCUGCCAGGUGAGGUGAGGUGAGGUGAGGUGGGAGCAGACAGUGGAGAAACACCACAAACAGCACAGGUGGUCGGCCAGGGCCACGAGCCCUUCAGCUCACCGAUGCCGAGACCCCACAAUCCCCACAACAAACCUGCAAGGUCAGAAUAAUUGCGCACGUGUACGGACGACUAAGCUGAGGCCCCUUCCUCCUUCACCUCCGGAAUGCCACCUGAGCGCAAAGGCUUUGGGACACAAAGCACUCAGCAGUCGGCAGUGGAGGCACAGCCCAGGAUCAAGACCCUGGGCUUCCUGUCCCAGGCUCCUCAACCUGCAGGCGGCCACACAGCAAGAAGACCCUGGGAAGUUAAAGAACGAGGCGCUCCUGCUUCCCCCACCCUCAACGGCCAGCAAGGACACAAAGGCAGCCCAGGGCAGGGCCAGCCGCCAGCCACAAGGCCCCUCCAGAACCCAAGGUCCAGUGGAGACUCUGAAAGGGCUGAUUGCAGGGCCCCCACGGGGUCCACACACCAGACACAGAGGCCCAUGCAGAAAGGCGGUAAGGGGCCCCCCUGGGGUCUGCACACCCGACACAGAGGCCCUGCGAGAGGGAGGCAUGGAGCGCCCGCGGUGUCGGCACACCAGGAUUCACAGCCCGGCUCUCCACCCCCAGCUGACCUCGCUGUGAAGAGAUGGUUUGUGCUGAGAGCUUAGCAAGGCCGUCGUCUACCGAGUGCUUCCCACCACAGCCCAUGCGCAGGCAUGAGAGUCAUGCCUCCCGCAGGCCACAGCUUCACUCAUGCAAGGACAUUCUGGGGGCCGGGACGUCCUAGCCAGUGGCUAGAACUGGGUGUGACCAUGGGCCCCCUUGGCUGGGGAGAAAAGGAGGUGCCCCUAGAUCCCAAGUCCCCUGGGGCCGCAGCAAAGGGAGGAGGACCUUGCAUCACUCCAGGGUGCCACGUGGACGAACAGAGGUAACAUUGGGAGUGUGGCUGGCAGUGUUGGACAUUCAGAACAUGUCUGCCCAAAACAAACAUGGCCUUCGCUUCUCCCAGCUCCCAGAAACAAAGUAAACAGAAGGAUCACGUCUGGACACCAGGGACCAGCCCCUGUUACAUCCCUGUCCCCCCCAGGCCAGAGCCUGACCACUCCGUGUCACCUGCCUCUACUCCUGUAGUGACUGUCAACUUUUUGGAUUUCAGAAAGCCAAACCAGCAAGGGAAGCCUUUUCCCGGGGGGUAGAGGUGUCUCUCCUACACACACCCCUACCCCAGGGUCUGAGAUGACAUCCCAAAUCAAACCCGGUAUUCUGCAGAGAUACACAAAGGUUCAAACUACAGACAGCCUUGUAUCAGCUGUAAAGGGGGGCCAGAUUUUGCUGCAAAAGAAAAAACCCAGUAUCCCCUCGCUCAGCCCACUGUGUCACCAAGAGGGAGGGUGGGCGGCUGGCCGAAGAGGGCUCCAUUUUAUAGUCCAGGAAGGGGUGGCCUGGGCCCCACAGCUGGUGGGGCAGUGGCACUGGAUCUGAAGCAAAGCUGGGCACUGGAGGCUGUGCCUUGGGCCGGUGUGCUGGCAGCGCCUGCUGGAGGAGCCAAGGGGCACUGAUUCAACACUGACUGUAUUUCCGGAACCAGAGUUAGUAUUGGGGGUAUG
rnacentral:lncRNA from 1 species